CUAAUUUGAUCCUGCCUGAAUUCUCUGUAAAAGAAGCGUGAUUGCUCAUGAUCUCCUAAAUCUCCUAGCUCAGAGGAAUUCAGUGUGAACUUGAGUCUCUUAGUGGCUUUAAUGAUUUUACUUCUUUCGGUGGAGGCAGAGGGGGAAGAAUGAAAACUUUAAAAUUUAUUCUCUUUUAAUUGCACAAAGAUUUGCUUUAGGAUGAAUACUAAACAGGUCCUUUCAGGAAUGGUACAUGCAAAGAUGACGUGCACAGUGAAAUGUAACCCGUCAUUGUGAAUUCUGGAAGGAAAAUCUGACUAAUCACCAUGAGGCUGACAUGUUAUAAAACUUCCCAAGGCCUUUAGGCAAAGAAGACAUAAGAAUCACGGGCCUGGAAUAUUACCAUCAGAGUCUAAAUCAAGAGGUGUGGCAGAGACUGAGAAGAAAAAGCCCCCACACUCUCAAGAAAAUACUGCCAAUUUUAUAGCCAUGGUAAGCAGUGAAAACCAGAAGUGGCUUUAAAUCAGUCAACGACAGCUUGCUUCAUUGAGCAUAUCUCCAAAAGCCAACCAAUCAGUGCCAACCUUAUGCUCUGAAAGUCAGUUAAUUGGCAGUGGACUUACUCCAGUGAGCACACUUCUAAGCUGAUGUCAAUCUGCUCCAGUGUCUGCGACCAGCACAAAAGGCACUUCUGAGGCUGACAUUUUCCCACUCUUGCCCCUUCUCCCAAACUCUGUAGCAAAUCUCCCAAACUCUAGCAGAUCUGCUCAAAGAGGUCUGUCUCAAUGAUCUCUUUGCUCACUUAAGUCUCGUAUGACCAGCAUGGC
rnacentral:lncRNA from 1 species